UUCAAAGUUUAGUUAGUACAUGAACGUUCGAAAACAGUGAUAUUAAAAGAAACUGACACAAAUUUUCAACUAACUGUUAAUUCAUGCUAUUAUAUACUGGCAACGCAACUAUAUAAAUAAAUCACACAUGCCACGACAGAAGAUAAGGGCAAACAGACCAAUGAUACUUAUAUGGUGUUAUUAGGCAUAGUCAAAAUCGACACAAAUCUUGAUGGUAGAAAAAAAUUGAGCCAAACCAAAAAUGCUGCUCGUGUUUGGCCAGUUAUAGACGAAACAAAUAAAAAAAAUCAAGAAACUGGCGCAAAAAUAUAGAGAACACCAUGAAACGUUGUGGCCCAUGAGCAUCUAGCAUCUGAAUUCAAUAGGCGAGCUCUUUAGUCUCCACAAUGGGGCCAAUGACAGGUUUUCGAGGCAAAAAGUCAAAUUUUCAAGUGAAGAAUUUGAAAAAAAUAACAGAAUUCUAUUGUCAACACUCUGAAACACUAAAAAAUAAAAAAAAUUAACAAAUCAAUCUGGUAACACUUCACAAUGGGUAUUGUCCGGCAUUCUAUUCAUUCAAAGGGUAUUGGGCCAUAAAGAUCCAUCCGAAUUCUAUGAAAUUUGGCACCUCUACCCUAUCCAGAUCGGACCAUAUUUGGAUAUAGCUGCCAUAUAGACCGAUCUCCCGAUAUAGAGUAUUGAGCCAUAAAAGCAGGAUUUUUCAUCCGAUUUUAAUGAAAUUUCAAACAGAGAGUGAAUACAUUGAACCUAAGAUCUCCAAGUGAAGCGGUUGAGAACCAUGUUUGUUGGAAAAGCGAAAGUGAAACCUAGAAC